rnacentral:lncRNA from 1 species
CUCCAGUCCCCUAAAUCCAAUUCCUACUUGUUUUUGUCAGCCCAAUAUGCAUAAACAUCACAGAGACCUUGCCUUCACUAGCUUAUCUCCAAACUUUAAGUCUCAAGCUCCUACAUUCUUGCUUCAGCUUAUGCUUAUUCUUCAAUUUCUUUCCAAGCUCUCCUACUUCAAACCAAAUGUUUAAAAUCAGUUUCUUUAAGUGCUCCUAAGCCUCCAGGGAAUCAGAGUGACAUGAAAAGACGAUCCUCAUGUUCCGAACAUCUCACUUACCGGUUUGUAUGGCUAUGUCAAACCCGCAGGGUCCACCCUGCAAAUUCCAGCAUCAGUACCUUAACUUUCACAAUUUAAUUAAAAUACUAAACAAUAUCCGUUUUGAGCAAACGACCACUCAUUGGAAAGCUUAGGGUGUCAGGAUUACAAAUAUAAUUUUUGUUUUGAGGGUUAACCAUUCAAUUGGUUCAGUUUAACAAAAGAGCGGGUAUUGGUACAUAAACAUGACUGAAACUUUCUCAAACUUGUAGGCAGCUUUUCUCCUACUAUACUUAAUGAAAUUUAACAACUCUAGUGUCUAAACUAUAGGAAAUUUUGUCUUCUUUACAUUGGAUUAAGAAUCAUUAACAUAUGACCUAUUUUCAGAGAGUUAUGCUAAUUUUACCACAGGUAUGUUUACACGAAUUUCACACAAACAACUCUUCUUUUAUAUGAACUUGCAAACCAAACAUAUACAAUCCAAUAAUAGCCAAAACCAGUCCAUUUAAACUUAUAAAAUCCCUUUAUUUUCCAUCUUUUAGGGUCUCAGGUUUGGCAUGAAAGAGAAAGAAAGGAAUAAAGAGAGAAGGUUUAAUUCAUCUUACCUCAGUUUCUAGACAUCCAAAGCUUGAUUUUCAUGAGAAUUUCGUACAUGCAAUAGGAGGGUUUGAAGAAAAGAAAUGUGGGGGUUUUUGGUUUGAUUCUAAACAGGAGGGAAAAUGGAGAAUUUGAGCAAAAUAUUACUGGAAAUGGGUUUCUUUGAUGAUGGGUUUAUGAUUUUCAUUCAUGGAUGUGCUUGAUUUUGAGGGAUUGGUGAGGAAGGAAUUUGCAGGUGAUGACCAAGGUGAAGAAGAGAGGAUGGCGUCUGAGAAAAGAAGAGAGAGAUAUAAUGAAAAUUCUGAUUUUCAUUCCGAGAAAUGAUAUUUGAACAUAAAUGACAACUUUUGCAACAACUUUCUUUCUUAUACUCACGUUACUUUUUACUUUAUCUCUCUAUUGCUAUGAUUUUUGUGCCAAUACCACAUUUUUCUUUGUAAAAUAUGGUUGUCAAAUAAGUUGUCACCAAAUUGGUUGUUCAAAUAACACUCCUCUUUCAUUCCUCUUAUUAAUCACAUUUAACCCUUUCCUCUUUUACUAUUUUGCCCCUCCUUUUACUACUAAAACAUAAUUGUUUCUUUUCAUCAAUAUUUCUCCAAUUUACUAUAUAAAAUUUUAUCUCAUCCUUUAUUUGGAGUCUCUAAUUCACACCAUUAUUAUUAAUGAGAGCUGGAUUAUUACAAUUGUCUUGGUAGUUUGAACUCAAUGUUGAUUUAUUGACUUUGAAAUCAACAACGAUAUAAAUCGGUGUGUUAAUCAAUAUGGUUGUAUUGC